rnacentral:rRNA from 1 species
UACAGAGGGUGCAAGCGUUGUUCGGAAUUAUUGGGCGUAAAGCGCGUGUAGGCGGCUUUGCAAGUCGGGUGUGAAAUCCCCCAGCUUAACUGGGGAAGUGCGCUGGAAACUGCAGAGCUCGAGUACCGGAGAGGAUGGCGGAAUUCCGCAAGUAGAGGUGAAAUUCGUAGAUAUGGGGAGGAACACCGGUGGCGAAGGCGGCCAUCUGGACGGUAACUGACGCUGAGACGCGAAAGCGUGGGUAGCAAACAGG